rnacentral:rRNA from 1 species
UAAAUUUUAAAAUUAUAAUACUAAAAUAGUAAAUAAUUAUUUAUUAAAACUUAAAUAAUUUGGCGGUAUUUUAGUUCAUUUAGAGGAAUCUGUUUAAUAAUUGAUAUUCCACGAAUAAAUUUACUUAAUUUUUAAUUUUGUAUAUCGUUGUUAUAAAAAUAUUUUUUAAUAAAGUUAAUAUUUAAAAAUUAUUAUAAAAAUUUAAAUCAGAUCAAGAUGCAGAUUAUAGUUAAGAAUAUAAUGGAUUACAAUAAAAUUAUUUAAAUGGAUGUUAAUUUGUAAGAUUUAAUUGAAAGUGGAUUUAAAUGUAAUUUUAUUUAAUUUAAUAAAAUGAUUAAAAAUUAAAAUAUGU